CUUGGUCAUUUAGAGGAAGUAAAAGUCGUAACAAGGUUUCCGUAGGUGAACCUGCGGAAGGAUCAUUAAUGAUUGCGAAUGGUUGCCUUCGGUGCUGGCUCUUGCAAGUGCACGUUGGUGGCUUUCAUCCAAUACCCCUGUGAACCUUUGGCCUCUUGCUAGCUUCGGCGUGCAGAGGAUUUUUACACACUCGAAUGUAAUGAAAACUAUUGUCGUGCGCAAGCACUAGUGUACAACUUUCAACAACGGAUCUCUUGGCUCUCGCAUCGAUGAAGAACGCAGCGAAAUGCGAUAAGUAAUGUGAAUUGCAGAAUUCAGUGAAUCAUCGAAUCUUUGAACGCACCUUGCACCCUUUGGUAUUCCGAAGGGUAUGCUCGUUUGAGUGUCAUUGUACUCUCACACUCUCUGAUCCUUUGGAUUCAGGGAGUGGUGGACUUGGGUGUUUGCUGCUUUCCCGGUGGCUCACCUCAAAUGCGUUAGUGCACCUCUUGGUUGGACAUAGUACGGCGUGAUAAGUAUCUUCGCCGGCACCUCGCAAGAGGGUGGCCGAUUGGGAGCUCUGUGCUUUCAAACCGUCUUCGGACAAUCUUGACAACUUGACCUCAAAU
rnacentral:rRNA from 1 species